rnacentral:pre_miRNA from 1 species
ACUGUAAGGUGUUGCGUAGGCGUUGUGCACAGUGUUGGUUUUUGAACGGGACUGUGCAUCUCACCCGCGCAAAGCAUUGCAGA